AGGGCGCACAGUGGAUGCCUAGGCACUAGAAGGCGAAGAAGGACGCAACUAACGGCGAAACGCUACGGGUAGCAGUAAGUAAGCAAUGAUCCGUAGAUAUCCGAAUGAGGCAACUCACCAUGAAGAAGACAUGGUAUACCGAAAGGUAGGCAAGACCCAGCGAAUUGAAAUAUCUUAGUAGCUGGAGGAAAAGAAAGCAAAAGCGAUUUUCUCAGUAGCGACGAGCGAAAGGGAAGGAACCCAAAUUCACGGCAUAUGAAAUUUUUGAUAAAUGAACCACUCUGGGAAGGUGGACCGAAGAAGGUGAAAGUCCUGUAAUUGAAAUCAAGAAUGGAAUUAGUGAGAAAGAGUACGGCGAGACACGAGAAAUCUUGUCGGAAGAAGCGAGGACCAUCUCGUAAGGUUAAAUACUAGCUAGUGACCGAUAGCGAACCAGUACCGUGAGGGAAAGGUGAAAAGAACCCCGGGAGGGGAGUGAAAGAGAACCUGAAACUGUGUGCUUACAAGUAGUCAGAGGACGUUAAAGUCUGAUGGCGUGCCUUUUGUAGAAUGAACCGGCGAGUUACGGUAUUUAGCAAGGUUAAGUCUAAAGGGACGGAGCCGAAGCGAAAGCGAGUCUUAAUAGGGCGGUAAGUUGAAUGCUGUAGACCCGAAACCCGGCGAGCUAGCCAUGAGCAGGUUGAAGUUUGAGUAAAAUCAAAUGGAGGACCGAACUAGGGCCUGUUGAAAAAGGCUUGGAUGACUUGUGGCUAGGGGUGAAAUUCCAAUCGAGCUGGGAUAUAGCUGGUUCUCCCCGAAAUAACUUUAGGGCUAGCGUUAAACAAGAGUUUUAUGAAGGUAGAGCACUGAAUAGUAGAUGGUCCCACCUCGGGAUACUGACAUUAAUCAAACUCCGAAUGUCAUAAAACGCGUUUAGCAGUCAGACUGCGAGUGAUAAGGUCCGUGGUCAAAAGGAAAAGAGUCCAGACCGCCAAAUAAGGUCCCAAAAUAUAUGCUAAGUGGAGAAGGAUGUAGAGAUGCCUAAACAACUAGGAUGUUGGCUUAGAAGCAGCCAUCAUUUAAAGAGUGCGUAAUAGCUCACUAGUCGAGUGACUCCGCGCCGAAAAUGUACCGGGGCUAAGCAUAUUACCGAAUUUGCGGAUUCGAUACGAAAGUAUUGAGUGGUAGGGGAGCGUUCCAUAAUGGGAAGAAGCAAGAUCGAGAGGACUUGUGGACUAUAUGGAAGUGAGAAUGCCGGUGUGAGUAACGAAAAGACAGGUGAGAAUCCUGUCCGUCAAAAACCCAAGGUUUCCAGGGGAAGGGUCGUCCGCCCUGGGUAAGUCUGGGCCUAAGGUGAGGCCGAGAGGCGUAGCUGAUGGAUAUCUGGUGUAUAUUCCAGAACUAGUAUAAUGACUGAUGGAGUGACGAAGAAGGCUAGGAUCCGAUUCUUAGUGGAUUGAAUACGAGAUAUCAAGAGGGGAUGUAGGCAAAUCCGCAUCUAGAAAUCAAGAUAUGACAGGUAAAGGAUAACGAAGUCAAGCUUCCAAGAAAAGCUUCUAGGGUUAAUCAUUAUACUACCAGUACCGUAAACCGACACAGGUGGGUAGGAAGAGAAUUCUAAGACGCGCGAGAAAACCCUUGUUAAGGAACUCUGCAAGUUGGCCCCGUAAGUUCGCAAUAAGGGGAGCUCAUGUAAAAGUGAGCCACAGAAAAGAAGCCCAAGCAACUGUUUAACAAAAACACAGGUUUAUGCAAAACCGUAAGGUGAAGUAUAUGAGCUGACACCUGCCCGGUGCUGGAAGGUUAAAAGGAGAGGUUAGAGCAAUCGAAGCCUUGAAUUGAAGCCCCAGUAAACGGCGGCCGUAACUAUAACGGUCCUAAGGUAGCGAAAUUCCUUGUCAGGUAAGUUCUGACCCGCACGAAAGGUGUAAUGUCUUUGGGCACUGUCUCAACAGGGGACUCGGUGAAAUCAAACUGCCGGUGAAAAUGCCGGCUACCCGCGAUUAGACGGAAAGACCCCAUGGAGCUUUACUGUAGGUUGAUAUUGAUAUUUGGUAUGUAAUGUACAGGAUAGGUGGGAGACUAUGAAGCUAGGACGUUAGUCUUGGUGGAGUCGACGUUGGGAUACCACCCUUUGCCUAUCGAGUAUCUAACUAGUGUAAGUGGAUUACAAAGGACAGUGUCAG
rnacentral:rRNA from 1 species